rnacentral:rRNA from 1 species
AUUGAACGCUGGCGGCAGGCCUAACACAUGCAAGUCGAGCGGAUGAAGGGAGCUUGCUCCUGGAUUCAGCGGCGGACGGGUGAGUAAUGCCUAGGAAUCUGCCUGGUAGUGGGGGAUAACGUCCGGAAACGGGCGCUAAUACCGCAUACGGCCUGAGGGAGAAAGUGGGGGAUCUUCGGACCUCACGCUAUCAGAUGAGCCUAGGUCGGAUUAGCGAGUUGGUGGGGUAAAGGCCUACCAAGGCGACGAUCCGUAACUGGUCUGAGAGGAUGAUCAGUCACACUGGAACUGAGACACGGUCCAGACUCCUACGGGAGGCAGCAGUGGGGAAUAUUGGACGAUGGGCGAAAGCCUGAUCCAGCCAUGCCGCGUGUGUGAAGAAGGUCUUCGGAUUGUAAAGCACUUUAAGUUGGGAGGAAGGGCAGUAAGUUAAUACCUUGCUGUUUUGACGUUACCAACAGAAUAAGCACCGGCUAACUUCGUG